rnacentral:rRNA from 1 species
CCUACGGGGGGCAGCAGUGGGGAAUCUUCCGCAAUGGGCGCAAGCCUGACGGAGCAACGCCGCGUGAGUGAAGAAGGUCUUCGGAUCGUAAAGCUCUGUUGAUGGGGACGAACGUGCCUAAUGCGAAUAGUUUUAGGCAAUGACGGUACCCAUCGAGGAAGCCACGGCUAACUACGUGCCAGCAGCCGCGGUAAUACGUAGGUGGCGAGCGUUGUCCGGAAUCAUUGGGCGUAAAGGGAGCGCAGGCGGGCAUGUAAGUCUUUCUUAAAAGUGCGGGGCUCAACCCCGUGAUGGGAAAGAAACUAUGUGUCUUGAGUACAGGAGAGGAAAGCGGAAUUCCCAGUGUAGCGGUGAAAUGCGUAGAUAUUGGGAGGAACACCAGUGGCGAAGGCGGCUUUCUGGACUGCAACU